rnacentral:tRNA from 1 species
GUUUUAAUAAUUUAAACCAAAAUACUGAUCUUGUAAAUCAGAAAUAAGAAAUUUCUUUUAAAACU